UACGUAGGGGGCAAGCGUUGUCCGGAAUUAUUGGGCGUAAAGCGCGUGUAGGCGGCCAGAAAAGUCCGCUGUGAAAACUCGAGGCUCAACUUCGAGCUGUCGGUGGAAACUUUCUGGCUAGAGUCCGGAAGAGGAGAAUGGAAUUCCUGGUGUAGCAGUGAAAUGCGUAGAUAUCAGGAGGAAUACCGAUGGCGAAGGCAGGUCUCUGGGCUGACACUGACGCUCAUGCACGAAAGCGUGGGGAGCAAACAGG
rnacentral:rRNA from 1 species